ensembl:lncRNA
GCCUUGCCUGCUCCUCAACACUCCACCAUGGAACAGAAAGACUUUGCCGGUUUAUAGUUGCAACCAAGGGUUUGUCCAGUGGUCAUGUAUGGAUGUGAGAGUUGGACUGUGAAGAAAGCUGAGCCCCAAGGAAUUGAUGCUUUUGAACUGUGGUGUUGGAGAAGACUCUUGAGAGUCCCUUGGACUGCAAGGAGAUCCAACCAGUCCAUUCUAAAGGAGAUCAGCCCUGGGAUUUCUUUGGAAGGAAUGAUGCUAAAGCUGAAACUCCAGUACUUUGACCACCUCAUGAGAAGAGUUGACUCAUUGGAAAAGACUCUGAUGCUGGGAGGGAUUGGGGGUAGGAGGAGAAGGG